GGCCUUAUCACGUUGAAACCCAAGUUCCCAUACAAUCACCGCAGUUAAAGAACAUCGAGCCUGGUUAGUACCUACAUCGAUGACUGCUUGGGAAUACCACGUGCUGUAAG